rnacentral:rRNA from 1 species
AACGAACGCUGGCGGCAGGCUUAACACAUGCAAGUCGAACGAGAUCUCCGGAUCUAGUGGCAGACGGGUGAGGAACACGUGGGAACAUCCCUUUCAGUUCGGAAUAACGUUGGGAAACUAACGCUAAUACCGGAUACGUCCUUCAGGAGAAAGAUUUAUCGCUGAAAGAUUGGCCCGCGUCUGAUUAGCUAGUUGGUGAGGUAACGGCUCACAAAGGCUACGAUCAGUAGCUGAUCUGAGAGGAUGAUCAGCCACAUUGGGACUGAGACACGGCCCAAACUCCUACGGGAGGCAGCAGUGGGGAAUAUUGGACAAUGGGCGCAAGCCUGAUCCAGCCAUGCCGCGUGAGUGAUGAAGGCCUUCGGGUUGUAAAGCUCUUUUGUCCGGGAAGAUAAUGACUGUACCGGAAGAAUAAGCCCCGGCAAACUUCGUGCCAGCAGCCGCCGUAA